rnacentral:sRNA from 1 species
CUUCACUACGGCGCUCAUUCUAUGUGUGACUCUUGAGUGUAAUUAGUGUAAGUCCUUUUUAUACGCUCACAUUCUUUCAUCUUCCAACAACUCUUGUGGUUCCUGAUGAGGAGGCACCACGAUGAUGAUUCCUUGUCUGUUCCAGAAGGGCUCCCGGCCCUUCACUUGGGGAGUUUGCUGGAGGAGAGCUGGGUUGCCUUGCUCUGUCAGCCCCAAGUUGUAAAGUGUCACAGAAUUGGCAGGGAGGGUUCGUGGGUCACUGAUUAGUGUUUAUAUUUCUCCAGCAAGGAUGGAGGCUGGGGGAGGGCUGGGCAGCCUCAGGAGUGCCACCCCCUCUAUGAGCAAACAGCUCAGUGCCAGCCGGUCAAUAGGAUGUGGGUCAAAGCUCAUGCUGCCCCUGAUGUCCAAGUGUGGAGCUCUGUCCUUGGAGUUUCUCUGCCCCUCGGUUGGUCAGACCUGGAGGCGGGGCUGCCAUUGACCAUGAGCCUUCUGGGCCUCAGGCAGGCCUGGGCCUCCCCCACCUGUCUGAGGGUGGUGCCCGGUCAAAGACAGGUUUAACCUGCUUUGCCCCGCCCCUUCCCACCUGCUUGUCCCACUCCAGGUGUUUGCUCUGGCCCCACUCCAAACUCCUGGAGUGUGUGUGUUGAGGGCUUCGGUUAUAUGUGAUUGCCCUCAUUUGGCCUGGAGGAGGUGACAGUGGACUGGAACAGGGUUGGGGGGUGAGGGGGAAGGGACAUAGGGCUAGGCUCAACAGGCGUGGCCUCUUAUUCCCAGGCAGGAUAGGGCUGAACAUCUGGCUGAACCAGCUUUGCAGCCUGCCUCCUUCCUCCUCCUACCCUCACUUCCUGCCUGCCCAGCUGUGAAUCUGUGUGUUUCUCUCUCCCCAUUCCCUAUCCCCAGUUCUCACAGCUGGUGAACGGGGAUGUGGCUUUGCUGGGCGGGGGCCCCUACAUGCUCUGCACUGAUGGGCAGCAGCUAUUGCGACAGGUCCUGCACCCCGAGGCCUCCAGGAAGAACCUGGUGCUCCCCGACAUGUUCUUCUCCUUCUAUGACCUCCGAAGAGAAUUCCAUAUGCAGCAUCCAAGCACCUGCCCUGCCAGGGACCUCACUGUGGCCACCAUGGCACAGGAUUUAGGACUGGAGACAGAUGCCACAGAGGAUGACUUUGGGGUCUGGGAAGUCAAGACAAUGGUAGCUGUUAUCCUCCAUCUACUCAAAGAGCCCAGCAGUAAGGUUUCCCUCACUGCCUGUCACCUGUUCUCAGGGAUGAAAAAUGCCUGUCUAUUGCUCCUCCCCACUGUGACCUUCUCUAAGAGACCACGGGGGAAUCCUCUUUGUCAUUUCUUUCUUUGUUUUUUUUUUUUUUUUUUGAGACAGUCUCCCUCUGUAGCCUAG